UACGUAGGGGGCUAGCGUUGUCCGGAAUCAUUGGGCGUAAAGCGCGUGUAGGCGGCCCGGUAAGUCCGCUGUGAAAGUCGGGGGCUCAACCCUCGGAUGCCGGUGGAUACUGUCGGGCUUGAGUACGGAAGAGGCGAGUGGAAUUCCUGGUGUAGCGGUGAAAUGCGCAGAUAUCAGGAGGAACACCGAUUGCGAAGGCAGCUCGCUGGGACGUUACUGACGCUGAGGCGCGAAAGCGUGGGGAGCGAACAGG
rnacentral:rRNA from 1 species